UUGACGCAGGACUUUCUAUCAGCCCAGAAGGUCCAAUGAUCCAUGUUGGAUAUGUUUUUCAGUGGAUGUUUGCUCAUGUCUAAUCAGAAUAAGCAGGAACUGAAAUUGUCAACAAAAGUCUUGGGACACUCAUACAAAUACAUCUGGAUAUAAGAGACGUUUGUCAUCUCAUCAUGAAACAGAAUCUUUUUUGGGGAGAAGAAAUACUCCUGAUGAGGCUCAGAAUACUGGAGGACUUUUCACAGUAUUAAACAAAUUUUGGGCAACAGAACUUGCAGAUGUUUUAAUACCAAGAGACCAAGUGUCAGUUGGAGAUCCU